rnacentral:rRNA from 1 species
CCUCGGGAAACUGAGGCUAAUGCGGAAUAACGUUCAUCGCCUGGAGUGGCACGAACGCGAAACGUUACGGCGCCAUAGGAUGUGGCUGCGGCCGAUUAGGUAGACGGUGGGGUAACGGCCCACCGUGCCCAUAAUCGGUACGGGUUGUGAGAGCAAGAGCCCGGAGACGGUAUCUGAGACAAGAUACCGGGCCCUACGGGGCGCAGCAGGAGCGAAACCUUUACACUGCACGCGAGUGCGAUAAGGGGACUCCGAGUGCGAGGGCAUAUAGUCCUCGCUUUUCACGACCGUAAGGUGGUCGUAAAAUAAGUGCUGGGCAAGACCGGUGCCAGCCGCCGCGGUAAUACCGGCAGCACGAGUGAUGACCGCUAUUAUUGGGCCUAAAGCGUCCGUAGCUGGCCACGCAAGUCUAUCGGGAAAUCCGCGCGCUUAACGCGCGGGCGUCCGGUGGAAACUGCGUGGCUUGGGACCGGAAGACCAGAGGGGUACGUCCGGGGUAGGAGUGAAAUCCCGUAAUCCUGGACGGACCACCGGUGGCGAAAGCGCCUCUGGAAGACCGAUCCGACGGUGAGGGACGAAAGCUCGGGUCACGAACCAGGAUUACAUACCCGGGCUAGUCCGAGCUGUAAACGAUGUCUGCUAGGUGUGGCACAGGCUACGAGCCUGUGCUGUGCCGUAGGGAAGCCGUGAAGCAGACCGCCUGGGAAGUACGUCCGCAAGGAUGAA